CCCGGCGCAGACAUUCUACGUCAUACUGACAUGUCGAGCUCCAGCUCCAUCCAGACAUCAGAACAACUUAUUUUGGUUUCAAUCGAUCACUGUUGGAUAACUUGUAUUAAACCAAAAAAAAAAAAACAUGGCAUCAAGUUGUCGAAAACCAGAGCAUAUUGCCCCGCUUAAAAAUGUUCUACAACGAAGAGGAGGCCAAGAAAUAUUUUCAAAAUUCUCGGGUGAUUGAGAUCCAGGGCCAGAUGUCCUAGAGGGCUGUGGAGCUGCUGAACCUGCCUGAGGACCAGCCCUGUAUCCUGCUAGAUGUGUGGUAGUGGUACCGGCCAGGGGACGUCUGAGGGCUCAUUAGGACCAGCCCUGUAUCCUGCUAGAU